AUUGAACGCUGGCGGCAUGCCUUACACAUGCAAGUCGAACGGCAGCACGGGUGCUUGCACCUGGUGGCGAGUGGCGAACGGGUGAGUAAUACAUCGGAACAUGUCCUGUAGUGGGGGAUAGCCCGGCGAAAGCCGGAUUAAUACCGCAUACGAUCCACGGAUGAAAGCGGGGGACCUUCGGGCCUCGCGCUAUAGGGUUGGCCGAUGGCUGAUUAGCUAGUUGGUGGGGUAAAGGCCUACCAAGGCGACGAUCAGUAGCUGGUCUGAGAGGACGACCAGCCACACUGGGACUUGGACACGGCCCAGACUCCUACGGGAGGCAGCAGUGGGGAAUUUUGGACAAUGGGCGAAAGCCUGAUCCAGCAAUGCCGCGUGUGUGAAGAAGGCCUUCGGGUUGUAAAGCACUUUUGUCCGGAAAGAAAUCCUUGACUCUAAUACAGUCGGGGGAUGACGGUACCGGAAGAAUAAGCACCGGCUAACUACGUG
rnacentral:rRNA from 1 species